UACGAAGGGGGCUAGCGUUGUUCGGAAUUAUUGGGCGUAAAGAGCUCGUAGGCGGUCUGUCGCGUCGGAUGUGAAAAUCCAGGGCUCAACCCUGGACCUGCAUUCGAUACGGGCAGACUAGAGUUCGGUAGGGGAGACUGGAAUUCCUGGUGUAGCGGUGAAAUGCGCAGAUAUCAGGAGGAACACCGGUGGCGAAGGCGGGUCUCUGGGCCGAAACUGACGCUGAGGAGCGAAAGCGUGGGGAGCAAACAGG
rnacentral:rRNA from 1 species